rnacentral:rRNA from 1 species
UACAGAGGGUGCGAGCGUUGUUCGGAAUUACUGGGCGUAAAGCGCGCGCAGGCGGCCCUUUAAGUCCGUCGGUCAAAUGCCGGGGCUCAACCCCGAUGCAUGCCGAGGAUACUGGAGGGCUGGAGACACGUAGAGGCAAGCGGAAUUCCGGGUGUAGCGGUGGAAUGCGUAGAGAUCCGGAAGAACACCGGAGGCGAAGGCGGCUUGCUGGGCGUGAUCUGACGCUGAGGCGCGAAAGCUAGGGGAGCGAACGGG